UAUAGUUUGACCCUCCUGUAGUUUAAUUCGUCCAUCUUUUAGCAACCAAUCAAAAAUCAGAUCGGUCUUUACUAUAUCAAACGAAUAACUAAAUGUAGACACAUGUGCUUUCGCCUCUCUUGAUUUGGCGGGUUUUAACAAAGCAUAUUUGUACGGUUGAUUAUUUCUCACCAAUCUCGGCAACACAAAUUUCGGCGUCAUCAGCCGAAUCUUCUGUCUCUUCAGAUGAAUUCGGCUCUUCAUGAGCCGAAGACUCUUCAUAGAAAGAAAUAUUUUUC
rnacentral:lncRNA from 1 species